AAUUCAAUUGCAAAUCUUUACAAAUCAUAUUUGAAAUAUCAAAUUCCAAAGGAUGAAUCAAAUACAUCAAAUUCCAAAUUCUUCCACAUCAAAUACAUAAAAUACCAAGUUAUUCCAAAUCAAAUAAAUCCAAUUCUAAAACAAAUUAUGCCAAUCCUAUUCCAAAUCAACAAAAAUAUAUCCUAAACAUAAUUCCAAAUCAAAUACAUCUUAAUACCAACAACCUCAGCUCCUGCUUUCUUGAAUUUCUCAUAAGAGUCCUUGAAGGCACAUGCCUGUUAAAUUCACAGAAAAUUUGUUAGCUUUAUUGGUGGUUAGUCCAGUGAAUAUCAGUCAUGGUAAUUAAGAUUCACAACAAUACUGAACGCCUUACCAUAGGCCCCAUCUUGUUGUCACUUGUUAUUUCAUAUCUAAAAUUGCAGAAUUUGGGCUAAAUUUUUUGCACAAAUGACACCUAAGCAUUCCAGUCCAUACAACUUUGUGCUAAUUUUACUGCUUUAUGUAUUUAAUUUGAUAUAUAGUUAUUUCUUUGUUACUGUAGAUAGAUUCUUAUUAUAAUAUAAUCAACUAAAUGGAAGAUAAAGAUACCUUUAAAGAAAAUUAGAUAUAAAAACUUAGAUUAAACAAUUAGAACUAUAUGUAAUAUAUUGAUCAAACUAAGAUCCAAAGAAUCAUGAAUAAAAACUGCUGAAGUUAAAAAGUGAGGCAAUUUAAAGCAGGUACUCAGUCUGCGAUCUUCUGUUAAAAGCUCAAAAAUGGAACUUCAAAAAAAGUUAAACUCAGCAUGAAAACAUAACUUUGAGCCAAGUUGGGAAACACAAUGAGCAAAACACCCUGCAUCAAAAAAGUAGAUGGCAGCAGAAUCUUAUAUCAAACUGGCCCAGUAGCGAAACCUUAGGACGAAUUGGCCUUUAGCAAUGGAAAACUGUCCAAGCAUCCUCUAAGUUGUCAUCUUCUAUAAAUUCAAUCCUGUAUGCUCAAAACCAGACAUCAGCAACACAGCAAGGAUGAUUUACCUAUCUGUCAAAAGCUACUGUGCUGACCAACACAAAACAGCUACAUUACAAUUUCUACAUCCCAAAUUGUACACAUUAAGUUCUAUGAAAUAGUAUCUCAUAUGAAUUCUCUUUAAGGCAUGGCCGGGAUUAAUUGUAAAUAAAACACAAGACAGAAAAUCAAGCACAAAAAACUUCACCUCCUAAAAUAGUUUUGCAUGAAAUCUCAAAAUAUAUAAUUUCAGAAGACAAAUCAUUCAUUAUUAUUAUAUCCACAAACUCUUAACUAUCCGCUCAACAAGCAGAAAGGAAUUUCAAGUUUCCAUUUUUAAAAUAAACAUUGAUUAAC
rnacentral:lncRNA from 1 species